GGUUUUUAUUUCAAAGAACACAGGAGGAAACACUGACAGAUUAUAGUCCGUCCUUCCUACAAUAGGAAAUCAUCAAUUAUGAAGCUGAUUCAAGACAAAAGGAAGUCAAUCCUGAAUGUUUGGCAUCUGCUUUAUCAGAACGGAGGUUUUCCACCUUUCAGAGGAAAUCUGACCUUCCUGGAGUUACCAGGAAAGAGGUCUGUCAGACUCGGAGACGAUCCCCCCAGAGGAUGCCCCAUUGUCCCUGUGCAUCCAAAAAAGCUCCAGGAUCCUGUUACUCUGCCACAAAGUGGCAGUUAGGCCGCUGAAAGAGAUAGCGCUCCUCGUGGGCCUUUGGCUGACACCGCACAUCACCAGGGGCAACACGCUUUUAAGGGGCUCCAGGCAUCUAGAGAAACCUGACCUUCAGCAAACCUCAAUGGUGCACCUCCU